AUUGAACGCUGGCGGCAGGCCUAACACAUGCAAGUCGAGCGGAUGAAGGGAGCUUGCUCCUGGAUUCAGCGGCGGACGGGUGAGUAAUGCCUAGGAAUCUGCCUGGUAGUGGGGGAUAACGUCCGGAAACGGGCGCUAAUACCGCAUACGUCCUGAGGGAGAAAGUGGGGGAUCUUCGGACCUCACGCUAUCAGAUGAGCCUAGGUCGGAGUAGCUAGUUGGUGGGGUAAAGACCUACCAAGGCGACGAUCCGUAACUGGUCUGAGAGGAUGAUCAGUCACACUGGAACUGAGACACGGUCCAGACUCCUACGGGAGGCAGCAGUGGGGAAUAUUGGACAAUGGGCGAAAGCCUGAUCCAGCCAUGCCGAGUGUGUGAAGAAGGUCUUCGGAUUGUAAAGCACUUUAAGUUGGGAGGAAGGGCAGUAAGUUAAUACCUUGCUGUUUUGACGUUACCAACAGAAUAAGCACCGGCUAACUUCGUG
rnacentral:rRNA from 1 species